rnacentral:rRNA from 1 species
AGUGAACGCUGGCGGUAGGCCUAACACAUGCAAGUCGAACGAGUGGCGGACGGGUGAGGAAUAUAUCGGAAUCUGCCCAGUAGCGGGGGAUAACUAAGGGAAACUUACGCUAAUACCGCAUACGAUUGAAUGAGCCGAUGUCGGAUUAGCUAGUUGGCGGGGUAAAGGCUCACCAAGGCGACGAUCCGUAGCUGGUCUGAGAGGAUGAUCAGCCACACUGGGACUGAGACACGGCCCAGACUCCUACGGGAGGCAGCAGUGGGGAAUAUUGGACAAUGGGCGCAAGCCUGAUCCAGCCAUACCGCGUGUAUGAAGAAGGCCUUCGGGUUGUAAAGUCCUUUUGUUGGGGAAGCGGUACCUGCAGAAUAAGCACCGGCUAACUUCGUGCCAGCAGCCGCGGUAAUAC